rnacentral:lncRNA from 1 species
GAGCUGCCGGGACCAUGGGGUGCUUGCUGCUGGGGAUUGCGGCUUGCUGGCCGGGCGACUAGUUCUGGCCUGGUCAGUCGGGGCGACAUCCUGUCUGGGGCGGCGUCCCACAGACGGUAAACCCAGGUACCUUCUGUGUGACUUCAACCCUCCAGAGGGUUCAACUCCGUAGGAACGUCUGCAUCCACAUUGCCUUCCUCCUGAAGACCCUGCUGAAGAUGGAGGAGCCGGUACUGGUGCUAUUCCCUUGGGGCCACCUCUACCACUGGCAGAGCCCCGAUCCCUGGUCCGACUCCUUUGACCUCCCAAGUCUCAACAGAAACAUCCCUGACAUUGAGUACGAGCAGUUCAUUGCAGGAACGCUGUGUUCAUGACAACCCAAUGAGUUGGCACCACUAUGAGUUCCACUUUAAAGUGCCUGCCACCCUGGCCUCCCUGCUCAUCUGCCUCAGUCAGGAGCACCUGGACCACCAGCUCUGUAUUGCCUCGCCUCCUACCAUCAAGACGUCAAAGUUCAUUCUCCUUCCACCACCCAGUAUGGUCAUUGUAGGGUUCUUCUGUCAGCCUGAGCCAGCCCCACCCAUUCACCCUACCCCCGGGCUAUACCGGGCGUGUCUCCCCCAAGUCCAGCCUCUCUCCUUUAAGUGCCCACCACUUAGCCGUCCAGUCUUCUCCACCAGCCUCCCUGGCCCUCCUUCACCCUCACUGGGGAUCAUGCGACUGCUCUGCUUCCUGCCUGUCCACGUUCCUCUUACUUCCACUUCCCCACCUUCCAGCUCUGCAUCCACAGUCAGCACUCUCUUUAUGACAGACAAAACCCCCUUGAGCCUUGACCUUUUCAGUUCCUCACCAGGCCGACUUCCAUCUCGGUUCACCCAGCUCUACUUGUUCUGAGCCUGCAGGCAGCAGGCUCUCCCAGCACAGUCCAAGACUACAAAUCAAUGCCCACCAUGUUGCCGCUGCCAGGCAAUCCUCCAGGAUUCUCUAGUGAGCACAUUUCCCCACUUAUCACUCAGUGGGUGUAACAUUCUCUGCUCUCUGCACACCUCUAACCUUCCCUCUGUCUCUUCCCUGUCCCAGCAGAUGGCCUUGCCUCCUGCUCAGAGAGAAUGACAUGUCACUGGAAAGGAACUCGCUCACCUGCAGCAAACCCUGCACCUCACUUUUAUCUGUCCUCUCCC